rnacentral:rRNA from 1 species
UACGUAGGCAGCAAGCGUUGUUCGGAAUUACUGGGCGUAAAGAGUGUGUAGGCGGUGCUCUAAGUCUGUCGUGAAAUCUCCCGGCUUAACUGGGAGGGUGCGGCGGAAACUGGAAUGCUAGAGGGUGGGAGAGGAAAGCGGAAUUCCUGGUGUAGCGGUGAAAUGCGUAGAUAUCAGGAGGAACACCUGCGGUGUAGACAGCUUUCUGGACCACUUCUGACGCUGAGACACGAAAGCGUGGGUAGCAAACAGG